GACGAAGGUGGCGAGCGUUGUUCGGAAUCACUGGGCAUAAAGCGCACGUAGGUGGUGCCGUAAGUCGGAUGUGAAAUCCCUCGGCCUAACCGAGGAACUGCGUCCGAUACUGCGGUGCUUGAGGAUCAGAGGGGUGUAUGGAAUUUCCGGUGGAGCGGUGAAAUGCGUUGAUAUCGGAAGGAACUCCGGCGGCGAAAGCGAUGCACUGGCUGAUUUCUGACGCUGAGGUGCGAAAGCUAGGGGAGCAAACGGG
rnacentral:rRNA from 1 species